GGCAAUUUGGAAACUUACAGCACAAAAUGAACAAUGCUAGUAAUUCUGAAUUCAAAACCUUUGCUGCCAGGUUUUGUCUUAGAGAGAGAAAGAGAGUACAGAAAUAACAAAAGGGGACAGAGGAGGGGAAUUGGGUCGUGGAUAAUCGAAAGAAAGAUACAUGAGAAUUCUCAUGGAGAGCACUGCUCUAGUACCAGGUAACAACUUUCAGGGAACAAUGCGGAAAAGGGUGAAGCAACCUUAAACCAGAACAUUUCCAAGCAAUGCUGAAGAUGACAAUUGCUGGGAACUGCUCAUUUUCUGUUCAGAUCACCCUGAUUAUUUGGAAUUUGGAAGCUGCAUUUCCUCUGAUGUCACCUUCUUUCUUUGCAGCGCUCUUCCUGCUUUUGAUGCUACUCUCAACACAGACUUGAUUAUAAUGGAUAUCAUCCUAACCUUGAUCUGGCCUCUCUUUGGAGGUACCCUUGUCUUCUUUAGCCCACCUUGUGCCUUUGCCAUAGCCAUUGAUGCCCAGUUAAAAACUUUAACAGGGUCUUUCAAAA
rnacentral:lncRNA from 1 species